AGUGAACGCUGGCGGUAGGCCUAACACAUGCAAGCCGAACGGCAGCACAGUAAGAGCUUGCUCUUACGGGUGGCGAGUGGCGGACGGGUGAGGAAUACAUCGGAAUCUACUUUUUCGUGGGGGAUAACGUAGGGAAACUUACGCUAAUACCGCAUACGACCUACGGGUGAAAGCAGGGGAUCUUCGGACCUUGCGCGAUUGAAUGAGCCGAUGUCGGAUUAGCUAGUUGGCGGGGUAAAGGCCCACCAAGGCGACGAUCCGUAGCUGGUCUGAGAGGAUGAUCAGCCACACUGGAACUGAGACACGGUCCAGACUCCUACGGGAGGCAGCAGUGGGGAAUAUUGGACAAUGGGCGCAAGCCUGAUCCAGCCAUACCGCGUGAGUGAAGAAGGCCUUCGGGUUGUAAAGCCCUUUUGUUGGGAAAGAAAAGCAGCAGGUUAAUACCCCGCUGUUCUGACGGUACCCAAAGAAUAAGCACCGGCUAACUUCGUG
rnacentral:rRNA from 1 species